GAAAGAGAAUCCAUAUAGCUGACCUCAAUAAAUUUUUGAGAUAAACGCUUAGUAGAGUUGAGUUGAGUUAAAAGGAAAUAAAUGCACCUCAAUAUAAAGAAUAUUAAAUCUCUUGUUGAAUAUGUCUACUGAAGCAUUUCUUUCCCAUUUACUGAUUCAGUAGUUAAACAAUCGUAAAUAUAUAGUUAGCAUUCAACAUCAAAUGGCCUGAUCAUGAGAGCAAAAGGUGAUAAGAGAUGAUCAAAUGUGGUGAAAUAAUUUCAAAUUUGUGAUAAAGUACUUUAUUUAUUUAUUUUCUACUCCUUAUUCAAUUGUAGCCACCUCUCGCCCUCCAAAUGAAUUCUAGCUUUGCCACUGUUUGUCAUGAGUGGCAAUGAGCAGUGAACAUCCAUUAAACCAGACUUUGCAUUCAAUUCCAUCUUAUUCUCCUGUAUACCUUUUUAGUUGAAUUGUAUGAGUUUGUUUUUAUAGUGUUAACUCAUGAUAUCACUAGUAAAAUCUGAAUGGUUGACUCAUUUCUAUUAAGUGGUUAGGACUCCAUAUGCUGAAAAUAAAAUAAGAAAUAACAUUACAUCAGCAACAUGAUUGGCUUUUAGGAGCUAGUUCAGGUGUUCAAAAGAUUAUUUCAUUUUGACAUCAUCUUCUUGAGACAGAUCUGUACAUUUCUAUUAAACAGUUAUGUCUCCAUAUGCUGAAAAUAAAAUGAGAAAUCACGUUACAUCAGCAACAUGAUUCGCUUUUAGGAGCUAUUUCAGGUGUUCAAAAUAUAUUUCAUUUUGACAUAAUUUUCUUGGAGAGUGAUCUGUACCCUGGAAGUUGGGAAUGAAAUCCAGUUACCACUUGAUAUCUGGGCCCAAUUUAUGGAGACUAUUGAGUUGUACCUUAAUAUUUAUGGGACUAAGCAUAUUGUCUACAUGCUAGUUAUCUAUAUUAAUUGAAGGUUGUUGACUCGUUUCUCUCUAUAUUAAUUGAAGGUUGUUGACUCGUUUCUCUCUUUGGUGUUUUUUUUUUUCUCUUUGGUUCAA
rnacentral:misc_RNA from 1 species